rnacentral:rRNA from 1 species
UACGAAGGGGGCUAGCGUUGUUCGGAAUUACUGGGCGUAAAGCGCACGUAGGCGGAUUUGUUAGUCAGGGGUGAAAUCCCGGGGCUCAACCUCGGAACUGCCUUUGAUACUGCAAGUCUCGAGUCCGGAAGAGGUGGGUGGAAUUCCUAGUGUAGAGGUGAAAUUCGUAGAUAUCUGGAGGAACACCGGUGGCGAAGGCGGCAUCCUGGACCAACACUGACGCUGAGGAGCGAAAGCCAGGGGAGCAAACGGG